rnacentral:lncRNA from 1 species
GCCCAGCUUCACCUGCGGCCGAGCCCAUGGCAUCUCGCCUUGAAGUGGUCUAGAGGCGAAGCAGAGGAGCAAGCCCGUGUCUGAGGGGGCAGCCGGGCCCUCCCUCUAUCUGAGCGAAGGGGGCCUGAGAGCCAGGGCUCCGGGGCUGCAGUUUUGGUAAGAGGUCCUUAUGGGUGGGAAGCAGCCUCAGCUGGGGGCACCGCUCCCCUAGGGGGCGAGUACUCGCCUCCCCGCUCACUUUCUGCAAACCAGGAGCGCACGUGCGCAAGAUGUCCGGCCGCAGCGGGGGGACGUGGUUCAGGAUUGUGAUUCGGCAGCUCCCACGGCGAGGGUGCAGGGCCCGUUAGGGAGGGAAGAGCAGGGCACACGCACAUGGCUUAGUUUGCUCCUCGUGCCAACCAAUGGUUCCCUGUGCCCAGAACUACACCC